UCUCUCUCUCUCAUAUACAGUGGCAAGAAAAAGUAAGCGAACCCUUUGGAAUUACCCUGAUUUCUGCAUAAAUUGGUCAUCAAAUUUGAUCUGAUCUUUAUCUAACUUACAACAAUAGACAAACAUAGUCUGCUUAAACUAAUAGCACACAAAUUGUAUUUUUCUUGUCUAUAUUGUCACAGUGUUCAUUGAUUCUCCAGUCCCCCUGCCCUUUUUAAUACCCUCCACUUUACCAUCAGGCAGCUGGGAGAAAAUACCUUUUUUCCCAUUGAACCAAGGUAAGGGGAUCGGUAGAGAACCAAGGUAACGGGAUCGGUAGAGAACCAGGGUAAGGGGAUCGGCAGAGAACCAGGGUAAGGGGAUCGGCAGUGUAGCCGCUAUUUGCACUUACUCCUUUAGUGCGUACCAAAAGUUCCCAGAGUGACUUUUCCACCCCUGCUGGUAUAGGGUUCUUAAAGGUCACCAUGUACGGUACAGUACAUUAUCUCAGCCUGAGGAAGUGUCUAUGAUCCCUGUAACAUUAAAUGUACUGAAACAGAAAGGAGUGGUCUUCCUCGGUGGACAGUAAGGGAUGGGAGACACUAUUAACA
rnacentral:lncRNA from 1 species